AUUACCAGAGCUCAGACAGCAGAACCCUGGGAGGCCCUGCUGCACAGUGCGCAUGUGAAAAACAUGAAAAGAAGAUGCAUCAUUGGGCUCUUCUCACUUCAGAGGGCCCCACAACAUCUGCAACCCUCCAGCUCCACCCUACCUUUGGUUCUGAAGAUGCUGCUAAACAUAACUCUGUUUUCGGGAACCCAAGAGGCAUCUGGACUGUCACCCUACCAACUUGCUCACACCUUCUGAAACCAACCCAGAAGACAGGAAUUCACACUUGGUCUGCCCAGCUUCCCUAGAGCAGACACCUGCAGACUGAGGGGCUGGAACACAAGCUGCGCCGAAAGAACUCUCCCCCAACCCCACCACCACCAUCACCUAUGACAAAAUCUGCUUUUGCUCCAGGGUUUCCUCAGCAACUGACACCACUGUCCACCCAAUUCUGGGAGCUGAUAACCUAGGUGGUCCAUCUUCUAUUCCCCCCCAGCACACUCACCCACUCACACACAGGAGGUAUCAACGGUGUGUGACAAUCCACGGGAGCCAACUCAAGUGCCAGACCAGAGUCUUCUGAGGUGUUUAAUGCCAACUUUUCCUAUGGUAUGUGUCAAAGCCACCUCCAAUUUGUUUUAGUCAGUACUUUCUGGGCACCUACUGUGUGCCAGAAUGUGCACCAGGUUGAGAGGCAGGGGGAGGUGACAGCAAUAGGCAAGAUGGCUCCUGACUUGAAGGAGCUCCCUGCUGAGGGUAUGAGAACCUAAGUGAAAACUACCCUGGUUCACAGCUGUCUCAGAGACUUGCUCCUCCAGUGGCUUCAUGCAGAGCUUUACUGGUGAACAGCCUCUUCUCACUCUCCUGCUCCUGUCACUGCGGACAACCCGCAUCAUGUCUGAAGUGCAUCCAGAGCACCCUGGUCCCCGAUCCUGCUACCCUGGGAUAUCCUUUCCCCAUUUGCUUUCUCUGAAGGCUCUACAGCUCUGAGAGCCCUGUGGCUCAUGCCUGAGAUUGGUCAGCCCUCAGCCCUCAGCAGCGGCUGCAGACCUGGAGCCAAAUGCCUCCUGGGUCCAGUGGCAGUCAGGAGGCCUCCCUGAGUGCCCCGCACACCCCCUUACCAUGCUGCAGGGGCGGUCCUCCAUGGCACACCCGGCUCUGUCCCAGUGACAAAAUGCAGACAGCUCUGACUCCAGGAAGGCAGUGACUGGCUCUGCCUCGAACUACAAUAAACUGCUAUCAGACCUCAGAGUCACUGCCGGGGGCCUCAGAGAGGGAUGAGGGGAGGAAGCAGAGGGCUGAGGGCUUCAUGACAGUCCGCAGGCUGAGCCAAGUCUCCCUUGCUGUGCGGCGCAUGGCGUGUGCUACCACAGGCCCUAGGCCCUGCUGGGCUGGCUUGUGUGUUUUCUUGGCUCUGGGAGCUGGAAGCAGGGUUACGUAAGCAGCUGAGCAGAUGUGAGCCUGUCCUUGGCUCCCCCGGCUAAAGCCCCGCCACGUGGGCCUCUCGGCUGGGAGUCCAGGUCACGGCCUUGCGUGUAAGGCGCUCAAUAACUUCAAUGUGUGAGCUCAACUCAGACAAAUUCCACCGCUCCCUUGCCCGGCAUGGCAAACCCAAACACACACAUGCCCCUCCACUGAAGCCCUGCUAAUCUUGAGCCAACCCAGCACGGACUCCCUGCCUCACUCUCAUGCUGGCUGAGCCACUAGUUCAUUCCUCUUGCCUCAGCAAAAACAGGCUGGAACAUCUAGUCACCCCUUCCCAACCAGCUGGCCAGUGGCUCAAGAUACAAUCCUUGGCCUGAUGCCGGAUGGUGAGAAUGUUUCACUAGCCAGUGACAAAACGGUAAAAGUGAACACAAUGUACGUUGUUCUUCAUCAAGCUAAAUGUAACCAAUGUACUGGAAGUGUCCCUUUCUCAAUAAGCAAGUGUCUUCCAAAAUAAAGAUUUCAGGGACUCCUGGGUGGCUCAGUCAGUUAAGUGUCUGACUCUUGAUUUCAGCUCAGGUCAGUGUCUCACGGUUCAUGAGUCCAAGCUCCAUGCUGGUCUCCACACUGACAAUGCAGAGCCUGCUUGGGAUUCUCUCUCACUCUCACUCUCUCUGCCCCUCCCACACACUCUCAGUCACUCACUCUCUCUCUCAAAAUAAUAAAUUAAAAAGCUUAAA